CUUGGUCAUUUAGAGGAAGUAAAAGUCAUAACAAGGUUUCCGUAGGUGAACCUGCGGAAGGAUCAUUAUUGAAUUUGAUCUUCGGAUCUCAUACAUAAUAACACACUGUGAACCGUGGCUUCGGCCCAAACUUGAAGUCUAGAAUGUAAUAUAUCAUAACAAAAUACAACUUUUAACAACGGAUCUCUUGGCUCUCGCAUCGAUGAAGAACGCAGCGAAAUGCGAUAAGUAAUGUGAAUUGCAGAAUUCAGUGAAUCAUCGAAUCUUUGAACGCACCUUGCGCCCUCUGGUAUUCCGGAGGGCAUGCCUGUUUGAGUGUCAUGAACACCUCACCCCCUCGGGUUUCCGAUCGGGUGGAUUUGGGUGCUGCCAGUUACAUGGCUCGCCUUAAAAGCAUCAGCGGUUGUAGACUUAAUAAGUUUCGUCUUGUCGACCGCUUCUAAUCUCCUUCGGGAUGUCUUCGGACACUUCAUGAUCUGACCUCAAAUCAGGUAGGACUACCCGCUGAACUUAAGCAUAUCAAUAAGCGGAGGAAAAGAAACUAACAAGGAUUCCCUUAGUAACGGCGAGUGAACCGGGAAGAGCUCAAAUUUGUAAUCUGGCGUCCUUCGGGCGUCCGAGUUGUAAUCUAAAGAGGUGUUUUCCGCGCCGGACCAUGUUUAAGUCUCCUGGAACGGAGUAUCAAAGAGGGUGACAAUCCCGUGCUUGACAUGACGACCGGUGCUAUGUGAUACAUCCUCAACGAGUCGAGUUGUUUGGGAAU
rnacentral:sRNA from 1 species